CUUGAUGACGUCCAUCUGGGUGUUGAGCGAUACAUGGACCGGUGCAGAAGCGAGGGAGGAGAAGCAUAGGUCAGGAUGCCUGGUGUUGCUGCACGACGAGGUCAGGACGGUGCGGCGGCUGGCGGAUAACGAGCUAUACGUCCGAGUGCUAGCAACGAAUGUACUCGUACUACUGGCGAGGAUAAUAAUUAGCAGGUUGAGGAGAGUAAGAAAGUAAGCUGAUGUGGCCAUGUUGGGUAUUGUUCUGUUGAGAUGUGAGGGAAGAAGAAGGUGUUAUGAGGGAGCUUAUAUACAGUAAUCAAGGGGGUGAGGAAUACAAUUAAUAAACUAUAAAG
rnacentral:lncRNA from 1 species